GAUGAACGCUGGCGGCGUGCCUAAUACAUGCAAGUCGAGCGAACGGACGAGAAGCUUGUUUCUCUGAUGUUAGCGGCGGACGGGUGAGUAACACGUGGAUAACCCACCUAUAAGACUGGGAUAACUUCGGGAAACCGGAGCUAAUACCGGAUAAUAUUUUGAACCGCAUGGUUCAAAAGUGAAAGACGGUCUUGCUGUCACUUAUAGAUGGAUCCGCGCUGCAUUAGCUAGUUGGUAAGGUAACGGCUUACCAAGGCAACGAUGCAUAGCCGACCUGAGAGGGUGAUCGGCCACACGGGAUCUGAGACACGGUCCAGACUCCUACGGUAGGCAGCAGUAGGGAAUCUUCCGCAAUGGGCGAAAGCCUGACGGAGCAACGCCGCGUGAGUGAUGAAGGUCUUCGGAUCGUAAAACUCUGUUAUUAGGGAAAAACAUAUGUGUAAGUGACUGUGCACAUCUUGACGGUACCUAAUCAGAAAGCCACGGCUAACUACGUG
rnacentral:rRNA from 1 species